UACGUAGGGCGCAAGCGUUGUCCGGAAUUAUUGGGCGUAAAGAGCUCGUAGGUGGUUUGUUACGUCUGCUGUGAAAACCUAGGGCUUAACCCUGGGCCUGCAGUGGAUACGGGCAGACUAGAGGUAGGUAGGGGAGAAUGGAAUUCCCGGUGUAGCGGUGAAUGCGCAGAUAUCGGGAGGAACACCGGUGGCGAAGGCGGUUCUCUGGGCCUUACCUGACACUGAGGAGCGAAAGCGUGGGGAGCGAACAGG
rnacentral:rRNA from 1 species